AGGUAUUUAAGUAUACCUUCCCCAAGAAACCAGAGGCCUUUCUCCUGGGCAUAGUGGGCCAAAUGGUGUUAAAAAAGGAUAGAACUUUCUUUAUGUAUGCAACAACAGCAGCAAGAAUACUCAUCGCAAAGUAUUGGAAGACACAAGAACUUCCCACGCUGGAGGAAUGGCAGAUGAAACUUAUGGACUAUAUGGAAUUGGCGGAAAUGACUGGCAGAAUCCGUGACCAGGGAGAAGAGUCGAUGGAGGAAGACUGGAAGAAAUUCAAAGACUAUCUUCAGAAACACUGCAAAAUUAAGGAAUGUUAGAGUGAUGUUGGAUUGAAAAUAAGUGGUUUCCAGCUGUAUAGGUUAAAGUUAAGGAUAGAUUAAGAUUAAAGAUCAAGAUUAAAGAUGUUUAAAGAAAUGGAAAUUUGAUAAUAAAAGGGAAAAUUUAAAGGUAUAUGACAUUAAGAACAAGGAUUAUGUUUAAAAAAGUUGAAGUUAUAUAUUUUAAUAUUUUAUUAAAUUAAAGAUUGGG